AGCCUAUUAGGUGGCAAUUAAAUUGCACAAAUUCAAGAUUAAAUUUUUUUGGGCCUUCUGACAAAUCAGGAAUGCAAAGCAGAGUGUAUUAUUAUUUUGAAUAAAUUUUCCAUUUAUUGUAAGGUAGCAACCAGCAUUUUUGUAGGAUUAUGCAAUUAUGUGUAAUACUUUAUUAUUGAUUGUUGUUGUUGUGUCAAGUUCUUCAAUGUAUCAGUACUAGUUAUUUCGUUCCUCUAAAUAUCUUGUAAUUGUUCAUGGUUUAUAUUUGUUAUAGUGAAUGUUAAAUGUUGCUAUUUUGGCAUGGUGUGGCUUCUUGAUAAUUCUUCGUUGAUGGAGUCUUGGCCAUCCAUCUCAUCUAGGCACAGUUACACCAACACACACACUGUGAGGCUAUAAUUUUCUGGUGUAGACAUAUGAGAACAAGAUAAUGAUAUCUAAAUUCUGGAAUUGCUUGUCUUGGUGUCUGUAAAUAUAGGAAAAUUGCC
rnacentral:lncRNA from 1 species